UNCCUGCUUUAGAUGAUGUGGUCCUAAUUCA
rnacentral:piRNA from 1 species